GAUGAACGCUGGCGGCGUGCCUAAUACAUGCAAGUCGAGCGAACGGACGAGAAGCUUGCUUCUCUGAUGUUAGCGGCGGACGGGUGAGUAACACGUGGAUAACCUACCUAUAAGACUGGGAUAACUUCGGGAAACCGGAGCUAAUACCGGAUAAUAUUUUGAACCGCAUGGUUCAAAAGUGAAAGACGGUCUUGCUGUCACUUAUAGAUGGAUCCGCGCUGCAUUAGCUAGUUGGUAAGGUAACGGCUUACCAAGGCAACGAUGCAUAGCCGACCUGAGAGGGUGAUCGGCCACACUGGAACUGAGACACGGUCCAGACUCCUACGGGAGGCAGCAGUAGGGAAUCUUCCGCAAUGGGCGAAAGCCUGACGGAGCAACGCCGCGUGAGUGAUGAAGGUCUUCGGAUCGUAAAACUCUGUUAUUAGGGAAGAACAUAUGUGUAAGUAACUGUGCACAUCAUGACGGUACCUAAUCAGAAAGCCACGGCUAACUACGUG
rnacentral:rRNA from 1 species